CAGAGUGGCAAACAGAAAUUGGAGGAGGUGCAGAGGUGUCGUCUGUUUACAAGACUGGAAUUGACGUUCAUCAAACCAAUUGCAUCCAAAUUGCAGUCCUGCAUUAUUACUUGAAAACAAAAUGGGAUUGGAUGCAGAAACAGAAAGAAUAUGGAAAGAAUUUCAAGUGGAGGGUCCCCGGUGGAUGAUGCAAUCAACAGAAUACAUUGUGGAACUGCGCUCAAUUGCUGAUGCAAUUGUCGAUUAUCAUAGUGAAGUCUUCAUCGCAAAAAAAGCAUGC